rnacentral:SRP_RNA from 2 species
GCCAGGCAUGGUGGUGCGUGCCUGUGGUCCCAGCUACUCAGGAGGCUGAGGCAGGAGGAUAGCUUGAGCCCAGGAGGUCAAGGCUGCAGUGAGCCAUGGUCGUGCCAGCACACCCUAGCCUGAGUGAUAGAGCGAGACCCUGUCUCUA